UACGUAAGUGGCGAGCGUUGUCCGGAUUUAUUGGGUUUAAAGGGUGCGUAGGCGGCCCUAUAAGUCAGUGGUGAAAUAUCGCAGCUUAACUGUGAGGGUGCCAUUGAUACUGUAGGGCUUGAGUGAAUUUGAGGUAGGCGGAAUUGACGGUGUAGCGGUGAAAUGCUUAGAUAUCGUCAAGAACACCGAUAGUGAAGACAGCUUACCAAGCUUCAACUGACGCUGAGGCACGAAAGUGUGGGGAUCAAACAGG
rnacentral:rRNA from 1 species